rnacentral:lncRNA from 1 species
UAACCUAUUUUCUUACCAUAUCGAGUUAACUCGUUAAGAAAAGUGAGUUGACACAAAAACAACACGAAUGCCAAGUCUCUGUUAUACGGCCAUUAGAUAGAUAGACUAAUAAGAAAAUCCAUUCAAUGCUAAGCAUUUGAACUGACGAUUAAAAAAAUACUUUGUCCCAGCUAUUUGUUUUCUGGUUAAACAAUUACAAACAAAAAAUUUAAAAAUAAAAAUAAAACUGAAUUAGUGUUUGGUGUUUAUUGAGAAUAGGGAUCAGAUGGUACAAAGAUUAGGGUGCCCAAUUGUCGUAACCAGGCUUUGGGGCGGACACCCAUCUCUCGCAUAAUUAUUGCGAAUACUGACCACUCAUCACAUCCCGUUUCUG